AACGAACGCUGGCGGCAUGCCUAACACAUGCCAGUCGAACGAGACCUUCGGGUCUAGUGGCGCACGGGUGGGUAACGCGUGGGAACCUGCCCUUAGGUUCGGAAUAACUCCCCGAAGGGGGUGCUAAUACCGCAUAAUGUCUUCGGGCCAAAGAUUUAUCGCCUUUGGAUGGGCCCGCGUUGGAUUAGCUAGUUGGUAGGGUAAAAGCCUACCAAGGCGACGAUCCAUGGCUGGUCGGAGAGGAUGAUCAGCCACACUGGGACUGAGACACGGCCCAGACUCCUACGGGAGGGAGCAGUGGGGAAUAUUGGACGAGGGGCGAAAGCCUAAUACAGCAAUGCCGCGUAAGUGAUGAAGGGCUUAGGGUUGUAAAGCUGUUUUACCCGGGAUGAUAAUGACAGUACCGGGAGAAUAAGCUCCGGCUAACUCCGUG
rnacentral:rRNA from 1 species